rnacentral:misc_RNA from 1 species
UCGAGUUGCAAAACUCCAACCCUUUGUGAACAUACCUCAGUCGUUGCUUCGGCGGUGGACGGCCUGUUUUUCGGAACGGCCGGAAGCCGCCGGAGGUUUCAAACUCGUAUUUUUUAGUGUAUCUCUGAGCCUGAAAACAAAUAAUCA